UCUUCACGCGUGUUCUCCCUCCCCUCCCACAGCGUCGUCAAACUCCUCAGUGUUCCCAUUUCGGAUCCCACGCUUCCUCUUCUUUCAUCCUUGUUUCUCUGGGCCCUGUCAGUCGGUUAUCAUGUAGACGUACAAUCAUCGCUGCAAAGACAACAAAUUGGGAGCGGCAGCAGCGGCGACCAGCUCAGCCACACAACCGAUCCUCUUUCCAUGUGCAACACCGCUCGAGGCGAGGUGGGAGAUUUGUGGUGUGGCUACGCCAAGCGCUCAUAUACAUCUGAGCAGGUCCACAGAGACGAAUGCAUGCAUCAAGCGCUGCUGCCGCCGCUGAGCCGUUGCUACUCAUGUGUCGGCGCCAUCUUGUUGGCUCUCUGUCUUUUUCUUUCGUUUCCAUUCUGUGCGCAUUCCUUUCCAUAGCUCUGUCUUUCUCCCGUUUUGUGUGCGUGUCACCGAAUCUCUGACGUGCUGCGAUGAUGUGUCGGCGUAUAUGUUUGUGGGGAGGGGGGUGCCGUCUCCCCCCCUCCCCCCACCCCACGCUUGAGCUUACGUUUUCUGUUUUCGUUCCUUCUGUUCCCACCCUCUUUGAGUGACGUUUUAUGAGCGCGCGCGUGUGUGUAUGUGCUUACGUGAGGAUACGCUCGCGUGCUUCCUG
rnacentral:misc_RNA from 1 species